rnacentral:rRNA from 1 species
UUAGGUGGCUAUGGCAUUGGGGAUACACCUCUUCCCUUUCCGAACAGAGUAGUUAAGCCCAAUUGCGCCGAUGGUACUGCAAUUUCGCGGGAGAGUAGGUUGCUGCCAAAC